UACGUAGGGUGCAAGCGUUAAUCGGAAUUACUGGGCGUAAAGCGUGCGCAGGCGGUUUUGUAAGUCAGAUGUGAAAUCCCCGGGCUUAACCUGGGAACUGCGGUUGAAACUACAAGGCUAGAGUGUGGCAGAGGGGGGUGGAAUUCCACGUGUAGCAGUGAAAUGCGUAGAGAUGUGGAGGAACACCGAUGGCGAAGGCAGCCCCCUGGGUUAACACUGACGCUCAGGCACGAAAGCGUGGGGAGCAAACAGG
rnacentral:rRNA from 1 species